rnacentral:lncRNA from 1 species
UGGGAGGAGGGAGGGAUUUUGAAUAAAAUUUUCCUCUGAUAACAACAAGUUAUUUAAGCAGCCUCUCCUGUUGGACCCGAAUUAAAAAAGGAUCGUGACGUCAAAUUGUAUGGUUCACUAACCACCAAUGAAAUUUGAGUUUUCUUAAACUCACUAAUAACCAACCAAUGUAAUAGUACAGCGCACCGUGAUAACUGAAUUUAAGUACAGGACUUAAAUUCUAUUAUCCCAGAUGCUAAUUAAGACCAAACAACAAAUUGGCAGUAUUUGGCCACAGCCUUUAAUAUUAUUAUUCUCAUAAUUUAUACAUGUUGUAUAUAACUGAAAAAUGAGGUUACCCGCAUAUUGCUGAUUAUGGCAACCGUACUGUCAUAUAUAUAUAUAUAUAAAUUACUACCACAGAUAAUGGUAACUGAAGAUAGGAUUAAAACAAUUUGGAAAUCACCGUGGGAACACAGGUGAUGGAUCGAAACCCUUACAUUGUUCAUCUAGAUCUGUAGUAAAUGAUCCUAUUCAUAAAACAAAAUGUUUUUUGAUGCAGCGAAUUAUGCCAGAUUGACAGUGAAACAGAAUAAUGAUUCAUUGUCAACCGCCAUAUAAUGGAGGUUCGCUGCCAAGCUGUGAGCCAAAUACAUCCACUAAAAAUCAAAGCAAACUUCAAGUUACAUGUAACUACUAGUAAAGUUGCUCAAUAAAUCGUAAAAAACUGUAUAUAUCUACAGUAAAAAUUUACACAAGAUCAAUUAUACAAAGUUUGUCUUAGGUUACAAUAUUGUAUUUAUAUCACUGAGACAAAAACACAAAACAAAACAACAUAUUUCAUACUUAUAUAUCAGUAGAGGGGAAAACAUGACCAUUGGUUUUAAGCAUGAAAAACUCAAGACCACCUUGAAUUGAAUUUAAAAAAAUUGUUAUUUCCUAUAACAGACAAAUGCACCCCAUCAGAUUUAUACAUGUUUCAGUCCUAGAAAUGUCUGGAUAGCGUAUUAAACAAUAACCACCCGAUUCCAAUAUAUAGUUAGCUACUGCAUUAUUAACCCUGUAUCUACAUUUUUCCAUUGCCUUACCAUUGUUAGAAUAUCUCCAUUUAAACGAGGCAACAUUUGUGACCACACAAUUUUAGUGUCAGGCAAGUCCUUUGAAAUAAAGGUCAUAGCUUGUAUCAACUUUUCUCUUAAGUCUUUAGUUUUUAUAUUCCCUAAAUCAUUAGCACCUACAUGUACG